rnacentral:tRNA from 1 species
UCCCUGGAGGACUAGUGGUUAGGCCUUGGUGCUCUCACCACCACAGCCCAUGUUCGAUUCCUGGCCAGUGAA